rnacentral:rRNA from 1 species
AACGAACGCUGGCGGCGUGGAUAAGACAUGCAAGUCGAGCGAGAUUUUUUCGUGUAGCAAUACAGGGAAAAGUCUAGCGGCGAACGGGUGCUUAACACGUGGGCAACCUGCCGUGAAGUGGGGGAUAGCUCGCCGAAAGGCGAAUUAAUACCG